rnacentral:rRNA from 1 species
UAAGACGAACCGUCCAAACGUUAUUCGGAAUCACUGGGCUUACAGAGUUCGUAGGCGGUCCGGUAAGUUAGGUGUGAAAUCCCUCGGCUCAACCGAGGAACUGCGCUUGAUACUGCCGGACUCGAGGGAGAUAGAGGAAAGCGGAACUGAUGGUGGAGCGGUGAAAUGCGUUGAUAUCAUCAGGAACACCGGUGGCGAAGGCGGCUUUCUGGGUCUCUUCUGACGCUGAGGAACGAAAGCUAGGGUAGCGAACGGGAUUAGAUACCCCGGUAGUCCUAGCCGUAAACGAUGAGCACUAGGUCGAGGGGCUCCACAGCUUCUCGGCCGUAGCGAAAGUGUUAAGUGCUCCGCCUGGGGAGUAUGGUCGCAAGGCUG